UAUGUGGACUGGAGCAGAACUGGUAUCAAAAAGAGAUACUGAGUGUAGCUUUUGGAAACACCCUGCAAUGGCUAAAGUUGGGGAGUUAAAGCUGCAACGCCUUAGAGUCCGUGAGCUUUCUCAGGUUUGACUAUCUGACUAUCUUUGGUUUGGAACCCAGUAUCUUGUAUUCUUAAAUAAAUGUAGCAGCUGACUUUGUUAAGUCAAUGUUUUGCCCCGAUGACCAAAUGUUGGUAUCAGCUGGGGUGGACCAACAAAACCCUUUGCUUCUGGGAGAUUUUAAACCACCUGCCAUUGAAGAUUCAAUUUUUUCAUAUCUUGACAACCAUCUAUCAUGAAGGACAACUAAUGAUGCAGGGUGUAUAGUCGCUUUCAGAUGCAGAGCUUCAACAAGCCCGUAGAGACUGAAGGUUACUUGGAUUGUUUUCAGUGGAUGGAUAAAAUGUGGCAACAGACAAGAGUAUCAUAUUGAAAGAAGAUGAGAGGAAGAACUUACAUCAUAUGCUGUCUGGCCAGAAUCUGCUGCAACAGUAAUGCAAUUCCAGAAUUCAGUGGAAGGAAUACCGUUGGACAAAAAGAAUUUAGAGUAGAGAGCUGAGCUUUGCGAGGUGGUACUAGAAGAGAACAAAGGAUCAGAUGAAUAAGGGAAUUCUUGUUUGUUAAAAAUACCAGUUUGGAGAUACUUCAGAGGUUCUUAGUUAUUAUGGGAACAUAUAAAACAUUAUUCAGAAUUUUCAUAAAGUAGAAUGUAUCAUUUUCCAGGCUCGGUUGGAGAGGUCAUGAAUCUGUAGCCCCACUGAGUUAUCUGUUGUCUGUUGAAGCUAUGAAGGAUGGCUCUGACCAUGUUUUUUUGUCGAUUGCAGAAUGUCCAUAUACCAUUUGUAAA